rnacentral:rRNA from 1 species
AAUAUUGCACAAUGGGGGAAACCCUGAUGCAGCGACGCCGCGUGAGCGAAGAAGGCCUUCGGAUCGUAAAGCUCUGUCUUUGGGGAAGAAGGUCUUCGGACUUGACGGUACAUAAGGCGGAACCCCCGGCUAACCACGAGCCACCAGCCGCGGUAAUACGUAGGGGGCAAGCGUUGUCCGGAAUUAUUGGGCGUAAAGGGUGCGUAGGCGGCCUUUUAAGUCAGAUGUGAAAGCCCACGGCUUAACCGUGGGACUGCAUUUGAAACUGGAGGGCUUGAGUAUCGGAGAAGGUAGUGGAAUUCCCAGUGUAGCGGUGGAAUGCGUAGAUAUUGGGAGGAACACCAGUGGCGAAGGCGACUACCUGGACGAAAACUGACGCUGAGGCACGAAAGCUAGGGGAGCAAACA